rnacentral:rRNA from 1 species
CACCAGGUUGAUUCUGCCUGACGUAGAUGCUAGUCUCUAAGAUUAAGCCAUGCAUGUUUCCGCAAUUAGGGACGAACAGCUCAGUAAAACUGCGAUUAUUUAGUCUGAAUGAGUAGAUAACUACGUGAAAAUGUAGCUAAGGGAGUUCAGAAUAAGACGCAGAACUAUCAGUUAGUUGGUAGUGUAAUGGACUACCAAGACAGUGACGGUUAACGGGAAAUUAGGGUUUUGUACCGGAGAGGGAGCCUGAGAGAUAGCUCCCACGUCCAAGGACGGCAGCAGGCGCGAAAAUUGCCCACUCUUGUAGGAGGCAGUUAUGAGACGUGAAGUAGAAUGAACAGUAAAAAUGAACAAGAGAAUUGGAGGGCAAGUUUGGUGCCAGCAGCCGCGGUAAUACCGACUCCAAGAGUGUGUAUGAGAGAUGCUGCAGUUAAAAAGUCCGUAGUCAUAGAAGAUUAAAGAGGGUAGACCGAAGUAAAGAUAUGGAAGAACCGAUGGGGAACAUAGUAUACCAUGGCGAGAGAUGAAAUGCCAAGACCCAUGGUGGACUAAGCGAGGCGAAGGCGAUGUUCUUGUAGGUAUUUGAUGAUCAAGGACGAAGGCAGGAGGAUCGAAAGUGAUUAGAUACCGCAGUAGUUCCCGCAGUAAAAGAUGCCGACAUGUCUGGUGGAAACAGUGGACAAGGAGAAAUCAUAGAGUUCGGGCUCUGGGGAUAGUAUGCUCGCAAGGGUGAAAAUUAAAGAAAUU